rnacentral:rRNA from 1 species
UCUUGCAGCUCUCGCCUGGUUUCCCACUGAUGCUAUGCAGGGUUGAGCCUGGCCAGUACCUGGAUGGGAGACCUCUAGGGGAAAACUAAGGUUGCUGCUGGAC